rnacentral:rRNA from 1 species
GAUGAACGCUGGCGGCGUGCCUAAUACAUGCAAGUCGAGCGAACGGACGAGAAUCUUGCUUCUCUGAUGUUAGCGGCGGACGGGUGAGUAACACGUGGAUAACCUACCUAUAAGACUGGGAUAACUUCGGGAAACCGGAGCUAAUACCUGAUAAUAUUUUGAACCGCAUGGUUCAAAAGUGAAAGACGGUCUUGCUGUCACUUAUAGAUGGACCCGCGCUGCAUUAGCUAGUUGGUAAGGUAACGGCUUACCAAGACAACGAUGCAUAGCCGACCUGAGAGGGUGAUCGGCCACCCUGGAACUGAGACACGGUCCAGACCCCUACGGGAGGCAGGAGUAGGGAAUCUGCCGCAAUGGGCGAAAGCCUGACGGAGCAAAGCCGCGUGAGUGAUGAAGGUCUUCGGAUCGUAAAACUAUGUUAUUAGGGAAGAACAGAUGUGUAAGUAACUGUGCACAUCUUGACGGUACCUAAGAAGAAAGCCCCGGCUAACUACGU